AGGAUAAACAGAAGUUGAAGACAUCUACAAGUUGGCAAAGGAAGUGAUCUGUUCAAGGAGUAAGCGUUUCUGUGAUGGAUUCUUCAGGCUUGCAUAGGCUGGGAAACACCCAACUUAAAGAGCUCUAUACCAACUUGGUAAAGUAACUUAAGUGUCA